UACGAAGGGGGCUAGCGUUGCUCGGAAUGACUGGGCGUAAAGGGCGCGUAGGCGGCUCAUACAGUCAGGCGUGAAAUUCCUGGGCUCAACCUGGGGACUGCGCUUGAGACGUGUGGGCUUGAGUGGGGAAGAGGGUCGUGGAAUUCCCAGUGUAGAGGUGAAAUUCGUAGAUAUUGGGAAGAACACCGGUGGCGAAGGCGGCGACCUGGUCCUUGACUGACGCUGAGACGCGAAAGCGUGGGGAGCGAACCGG
rnacentral:rRNA from 1 species